AUAUCCGGCUGUCACGAAAAUAGGAUGAGAGAACUUUUGUUAUUGGCUUGUUGACAACUCUUUGGCCAAUUAGAUACGGUUUUGUUAAUUGUCUGUUCAUUCCUGAUCAAAAUAUGGAACACGAAAGUAUGUCAGACUGAAAAAUUAAGGAUUCGGUUGUCUUAUAACACUCUGCACCCUUGUCAUUUCUCGACAAUCUGAAAGUACGACCAGACACUAUGGACGACACCAGCAAUGGUUUGGGGAUGGAUCCCGAGGAUUUUACUUCGGUAACGCAGGUUUACAUGGAAUAUGAUAACGAUGAUGACUGCAGCAUCGGCAACCCCACUUGUUCAAGAUUUGAUGAUCAUGGGCAUUCUUUUGGGAAUGACAACUCGAUGUCUGCAUCAGAACAUGACAAACAAUUUGAUGACGAUGAGAGUCGCUACAUCCACAAUACGAUAUCAGAUGACAGGAUAGAAAUGAGCAUUAACCCUGGCAUGAGGGGCGUUCCUGCCAACUUUAACCCCUCCCACGCCACAAUCACCGUAGAAACGUGCGACCCAGAUACGAAAGAAAAAGAAUAUAGAAGAUUUCAGUGUGAUUACAAGGGGUGUACACGGACCUACAGUACCGCAGGAAACUUGAGAACUCAUCAGAAGACCCACAAAGGUGAAUACACAUUUAUCUGUGACCAGCAUGGGUGCGGCAAGGCCUUCCUCACGUCGUACAGUCUGAAAAUCCACGUUCGCGUACACACGAAGGAGAAACCUUAUGAAUGCGAGGUCAAAGGGUGCGCCAAAAACUUCAACACUCUCUACAGUGUGGCCCCAAAAAUAAAGUCGUAUACAGCAUAAUCAACGUGGCAUGAUAUAUUUAGGAAAACAUUGAUUAAGAGCUCACCAAAGAAUUCACACAGGAGACACUUUUGAUUGCAAUGAGGAUGGUUGUACCAAGUUUUUCACAACUCUAAGUGAUUUACGGAAACACAUACGAACACACACAGGCGAAAAACCAUAUCAGUGUGAUGAGAAUGGGUGUGGGAAGGCAUUUGCUGCUAGUCAUCAUUUAAAAACACACCAAAGGACACAUACAGGUGAAAAGCCAUACACAUGUCAAGAGGAUGGGUGUAGCCGAGCAUUCUCUACUUCCUACAGCCUGAAAACUCACAAAUCCAAACACGAAAAGUCACUGGGGGAUCAGAACUCAAAAGAUGAUACUGCCACUAUUUACAAUGAGGAUGGAAGAUUUCAAUAUAAUAUCUCAGAUACAGAGGGCAUUCUAAGUACUUUGGGUCUCUUUGAGAUGGGAGAACAGAAUAACUCAAACACUAAUGAUUAUGUGGACAGACCUGCCAUCACGGAGAUUGUGGACGAGCUGAAGGAUACAGACAACUGUAACAUGUGUGUCUACAACCACACACAUCCGUCAGUGAUGGGCGACACGGACGUCAACUACUCAAAUCAGAAUCAACAGCCGCCCCAUCACCAAGUCUUCACGGAACUCAAGAAAGACAACCCUGGCAGCCAGCAGCCAAUCAAAGACAUGGUUCAGUUGACUCCUGUUCCAGUCAUCCCAAUCAAUCUUCCAGUGGUGCAGGACAUCCACUCGCUCCAGAACACCGCGCCCAAUCUCCAGCCUCUAGACACGCAGCCCAUGUCGAUUCCCGCUGUGCAGACCACGCCCAAAGGUGAUAGCUCACUGCAGACGGUCACUGCCUUGCCUGUGCUGCAGAGCGGGAGCGAUGUGGUGAAUAGUUCGUCCAUGUUUGUGGAGCACUACCUGAUUACGAAAGUUAUUGAGAAAACUCCUGCGGGUCAGCAGGUCAAGUCAGAAAGCACGCUGCAGCUCACUCCGAGCUUGCCGCCGACACAAGUCAUCGACGCGCCGCAGUCUGUCAUAGAUCUGUCCACUACGGGAACUGGAAUCGGCUUAAACCCCCAUCAAACUCAGCAGCCCGCACAGUUCAUCAACACAAAUGCAGCCAAUGAAAAUCCACAGAUCCUGGAGAAAAGCAACACAGAUUAUAUGUCCUUGAGUGCCCCUGCUCCAACAAUCAUGAUGCCGUCUGCUAACGCCUUGCCACCACAAGUUCAGAGCCUUCAAUCUCAGCAUGGUAUUCUGGACGACUUUUCCUCAAAUGGCGUUCCGAGGCAAGAAAGUGCAAAUAAGACACUGGUCACUCCUGCAGAAUUCAAUGUUCGAACGGAGCAUAUCCCAGCAAUCAUUGCAGCUAAUCCGGACAAGAAAAUCACGAUAUUGCCCUCCACUGAUGGUGCUAUGCAGCCUUCUAUUGUCAAAAUCUCCACCGACAAAGGCUAUAUAGAGCUGCCUUGUGGAAUGGAAGGGAAACUUGUGCCUAUUGUUUCAACUUCCAAUUUCACCUUUUCCUCUACAAAUGCGAUAAACACUACUUAACAUUUGUUGGGGGAAAUCGCAUUAAUUAUUACCUCAUUAUAUGCUUUAACUGGUCUGUUAUGAAUCAAGUAAUAGUGUGAUAUUAAGUAAUGUAUUGAUCGUUCAAUUUCAUUUUCUAACUGAGUAUCUCGGAAGUGUUUUGAAUCGUUGUAUACUUCUAUAUAUAAUUCAUUGUUAUCUGUUUUAAUUGAAGUUGUUUUUAUUAUUGUCAUAUGUGCUUGUGCAGGAAUGAUGAUGAAUAAAUUAUAUACAUAAUAAUUAUAUAUGUAAAAGAAUAU
rnacentral:misc_RNA from 1 species